rnacentral:lncRNA from 1 species
GCAUGUGUUAAAUAGUCUCAGAGAUUUGACAAAAAUUUUAAAUGCCUUUCUCAGACUACUGGGGAGGGAUAAUGGAGCUAGAAGUUUCACAUACAAGUGCUAAACAAAUUUCCUAAACCAUUUCUUCUCCAACUUUGAAUAGUUUUGAAAUACAUCUUUAUUAUUAUUUUUAGAUUUUACUAGAAUGCAUGUUAUAAUACCAUUAAAAUGUGAGGAAAAUUAAUAUAUUUUUCAGUAAAUAAGUAGUAAAUAUUCUUCUGAUAGUUUCUAAGAGCACUCAUAUAAGUGCUGAUAUUUAUUUAAAUUAGUAUAGGUUUAUAAAUAGCCAAGAAAGGACUUUACAUUUUUAUGAAAAUACACCAGUUUUCCAAGCAUUAAAAAUCAUUGUGUUUAGCUGAGUCUCAUGUAAUAGAAACACAGAUAUAUCUACUUGGUAGCUAUUUAGGUGCUUGUAUUGCUUCCUUUAAAAUUUUGGCAUAGUUUUAUCUCUUUAUUUACAGAGAUUUUUCUUUUAAUUUCAAAGACAGUUGUAAGUCACAUUUGUUUACACAUGAGAAACUUAAUGAUUGCAUUUAAUUUCCAGAGAUUAAACUCUUAUUGCAUGUCCCUUUUUGUAUUGUGAAUUUUGUACAGAGCAAAGAUAAUAUUUCUAAUUAAGUCUGAAAAGGAACUUCAACAUAAGGAUUUCUUUUCUAAAAAUAAAUGAAAAUAAAAAUGUCAGUAUGCUGUCUGGUUGAAUUAACUAGUGGUCAUGACUCAUUACAGCGCUUCUUCAAAGAUGGUUUCUAUAGCAUGCUUUUUAUCUUUUAAUAGUAGCUCGUUAGCUUCUUGAAAGAGGUACGAAAAAAGUGGCUGGAGCCAUUGCCAUUUAAAGGGCAAUCAGAACUCAAGACAUAGCAUAUUUAAGAUGACAGUGUAUGCCAGGUUGGGAAAGAAUGUUUUUUUCCUUUUGUAGGAA